AUUGCUUCUCAGCCUUUUGGCUAAGAUCAAGUGUAUUAAAGGGAUAGAUCAAUUGGGAAACCCAAAAUUACAUUUUGUUUUAUGAUUCAAUAUUUUAAUAUUUGUGAGGUUACUUAAAAUAGUAGUAUUGUCCUACCCAGU
rnacentral:snRNA from 2 species